rnacentral:rRNA from 1 species
GAUCAGGUAGGAAGACCCGCUGAACUUAAGCAUAUCAAUAAGCGGAGGA